AGUCUGUCAACUUGUGCGUGCAAACAACCAUGAAGAGCCUUUCUUACUUCGGUAGGGAGAAAAAAGGCCUCGGGGGCUGCCAGAGGAGAAGAGGCCAUCACCUCGGACCAGCAGCAACACACUCUGAAGUAGGUCUCAGAAGACAAAAAGCUGAAAUCAACUCAUGCUUCCUGCUACACAGAAUCCACUGAGAGGAAAAGGAAACUUUACCGAAACUUCAGAAAGCUGCAGAAAUGACACCCAUUUUCACAAUCCCAGAAGGAAAGCUGCAUCUGAGGGGAAUAAAAACAGAGCAAUGGAAGAGUAUUUGUUAAAAUAAAUGGCUUUGACAGGA
rnacentral:lncRNA from 1 species